rnacentral:tRNA from 1 species
UCAGGGUUAGUUAAAUAAUAAUAUAAUUUUGUCAAGAUUAAGUUGCCAAAUAGCACCCUUAU